rnacentral:rRNA from 1 species
UACGGAGGGUGCAAGCGUUGUUCGGAAUUAUUGGGCGUAAAGCGCGUGUAGGCGGCUUUGCAAGUCGGGUGUGAAAGCCCUCAGCUCAACUGAGGAAGUGCGUCCGAAACUGCAGAGCUUGAGUACCGGAGAGGAUGGCGGAAUUCCCCAAGUAGAGGUGAAAUUCGUAGAUAUGGGGAGGAACACCGGUGGCGAAGGCGGCCAUCUGGACGGAUACUGACGCUGAGACGCGAAAGCGUGGGUAGCAAACAGG